rnacentral:rRNA from 1 species
GACAGAGGGUGCAAACGUUGUUCGGAAUUACUGGGCGUAAAGCGGGUGUAGGCGGCCUUGUAAGUCGGAUGUGAAAGCCCUGGGCUCAACCCAGGAAGUGCAUUCGAUACUGCGAGGCUUGAGUAUCGGAGAGGUUGGUGGAAUUCUCGGUGUAGAGGUGAAAUUCGUAGAUAUCGAGAGGAACACCGGUGGCGAAGGCGGCCAACUGGACGAAUACUGACGCUGAGACUCGAAAGCGUGGGGAGCAAACAGG